UAGCUCAGUGGCAUAAGCGCCUGCUUUGCAAGCAGGCAGUCCUGAGUUCAAUCCUCAG
rnacentral:tRNA from 1 species